UAUUCUCAACACCAAAAUAUAAAUAGUGUACUAAAAGAUUGAAAAUCUAAUGUGCUUUUUACACCAUAAGAAC
rnacentral:tRNA from 1 species